rnacentral:rRNA from 1 species
GACGAACGCUGGCGGCGUGCUUAACACAUGCAAGUCGAACGGAAAGGCCCUGCUUUUGUGGGGUGCUCGAGUGGCGAACGGGUGAGUAACACGUGAGUAACCUGCCCUUUACUUUGGGAUAACUCCAGUAAACUGGGGUGAAUACCGCAUAUAAACACCUGCUGCAUGGGGUGGGUUGGAAAGUUUCGGCGUUUGGGGAUGGACGUGCGGCCUAGCAUCGUGUUGGUGGGGUAGUGGGUUACCAAGGCUUUGAGGGGUAGCCGGCCUGAGAGGGUGACCGGCCACAUUGGGACUGAGAUAGGGGCAAGAGUCCUACGGGAGGCAGCAGUGGGGGAUAUUGCGCAAUGGGCGGAAGCCGUAUGCAGCAACGCCGCGUGCGGGAUGACGGCCUUUGGGUUGUAACGCGCUUGCGCCUGUGACGAAGCGUGAGUGACGGUAAUGGGUAAAGAAGCACCGGCUAACUACGUG